rnacentral:rRNA from 1 species
UUUUAUGAUAUAUGUUAUAAUCUUUAGUUUUUUUUCUUACUUAAUCAUUAAUUUUUUUUGUAAUUGGUUUUGAUCUAAAUUUUUAUAUGAUAGUUAAUUAGUACCGUAGGGGAAUAUGUUGUUGAGUUUAAUAGAUUUAUUUAAGCUGGUUAUAUACUGUACCUUGUGUAUCAGGAUAAAUUUAGGUUUAAUAUUAAUUAAUAUUAUUCUCGAUUUUAUGAGAGUUAGGGAUUUAUUGAUUUUGUUGUGUUAUAAACAUUUAUAAUAUUUUCUUGGUGGUGAAAUGUUAUUCGAUUAUAAUGGUAUCUAGUUUUUUAAGAAAUAAAUUUAAUUUAGGUAUUGAUUUUAUUUACACUCUUUUUGUGUUAUUUGAAUCUAAUACAAAUGUUAGAAGGGAUAAGCUUUUUAAUAUAUUCUUAUAAUUUUACUACCUUUUUUAUUUUGUGGGUUUAAAAGUAACUACCAAUCUGAGGAUGUGAUUAUUUUAUAUUGUUUGUAUUUUUAUUUAUUUGGAUUUAGGGAUUAUAUUAAAUGAGAUUUAAUUAAUUAUUUUCUACUUGUUAUUAUUUUUUAAUUAGUAUAUUGUUAAUGAAGUUUAUUAGUUUUCUUUGUUGUAAAUUAUUUAAAAUGAACUCGGCAAGAUUGAUUUUCGACUGUUUAUCAAAAACAUUUCCUUUUGUUUAUAUAAUAGGUAUAGCCUGCCCAAUGAAUUUUUAAUGGCCGCGGUAUUCUGACCGUGCAAAGGUAGCAUAAUCAUUAGUCUUUUGAUUGGAGAAUGGAAUGAAGGGUUGAACGAAAGAUUAACUGUUUCUUGAUUAUUUACUUUGAAAUUGAUUACUGAGUGAAAAGGCUCAGAUGUUGUUAAGGGACGAGAAGACCCUAUAGAGUUUAACAUUCUAUUAUAAAUCUUUGUUUAAUUUGUUGUUAUAUUUUAGUGUGUUUUGUUGGGGUGACAUAAAGAUAAUAAAAACUCUUUUUUCUUUGAUAAUAUUAAUUUAUAGUUUGUUGAUCCAUUAUUAUUGAUUACAAGACUAAAUUACCUUAGGGAUAACAGCGUUAUCUUUUUAGAGAGUUCUUAUCGAUAAAAGGGAUUGCGACCUCGAUGUUGGAUUAAGGUAAAUUCUGGGGGUAGAUUUCCAUAAUAUUAAGUCUGUUCGACUUUUAAAACCUUACAUGAUCUGAGUUCAAACCGGUGUAAGCCAGGUUGGUUUCUAUCUUUAAUUUAUAAAAUGUUUUAGUACGAAAGGACCAUGCAUUUUUAAUAAUUUUUAUUUUAUGUAUAUUUUUAAUAUG